CUUGCAGGAAAUUGAGGAAGACUUGGAUGAGGCUUUUUCUAGACUGGCAGUGUCCCGUACUAACCCCCAGGUCCUGGAUGUUGGGGUGACCCCCCAGGAUUUGCUUACAGAACCUGACCUGGCCAAUGGGAACACAUGCAACCAGAACACAUCGAACACCACCAAUGGAGAUGACUUCUCCUUUGUCUUCUGAUUGGCUACCGGAGGGUGACUCUUUGGCCCAAUCCCAAAUCAAACCCCUAGGCCCUACGCUGGAGCUACAGCAUACCAUAUUUGUUUCCCCCUCUCAGGUCUGCACAAGUGCAUAGGUCAAUUUGAGAUGGGGCCCAUAGAGUUGGCUUUGGCUCCAUUCCAAACCGAUCCCUUUCCUCUGUCCUUAUUCCCUAGUUGACUCCCUCCCCCCUUAUAGAUCUGAAAGGACUGCAUAGGUUGACUCCCUCCCCCCUUAUAGAUCUGAAAGGACUGCAUAGGUUGAGAGCUUUUGGUUGAACUUAUGUCCAAACUUUUUUUUUUUUUCAAGUUUCAACCAAGUUUUUAUAGAUCUACACGGGGCCGCCAGGAAGAACCUAUGGGUAGAGGCUAGGGACUUGAACCGGGACCUGCCCCCCCCCCCACCACCACAGCAGUAUGCAGUACUCUUUGGGACCACGGCAGUAUGCAGUGCUCUUUGGGACCACGGCAGUGUGCAGUGCUCUUUGGGACCACGGCAGUGUGCAGUGCUCUUUGGGACCACGGCAGUGUGCAGUGCUCUUUGGGACCACGGCAGUGUGCAGUGCUCUUUGGGACCACGGCAGUGUGCAGUGCUCUUUGGGACCACGGCAGUGUGCAGUGCUCUUUGGGACCACGGCAGUGCUCUUUGGGACCACGGCAGUGCUCUUUGGGACCACGGCAGUGCUCUUUGGGACCACGGCAGUGCUCUUUGGGACCACGGCAGUGUGCAGUGCUCUUUGAACCAUAAUCAUUAUUAUUUACCUUUAUUUAUUUUGUGUUGGUUCUAAUUUAUAUUUGUUCUAACUAAGGACGGGAUGUGUAAUUUCAGUCAGUUAAUCUCAAUAUAAAUCUGUCACAUUACAUUUUCGAUUAGUCUUCUACAUAAACACACUUGAUACUACAAAGCCUCUAUACAGACCAAGCAAGACGAUCGAGGUUGGUACUCCCUGCUUUGCUUAGGGGAUGUAGUCUGCAUACUAGAGUUUAGUUCAGUUGUCAUGAAACAGCAGAAAUCACUUUGGAGAAGAAAAAAAAUGGUACUUCCUGAAUUUGUUUUCUCCAACUUAUUCAAAACUAUUUGUCCUGUUUGUGCCUACUUAAUGUGACCCAGGAAAGUGAUAUACUAUAUUGAAAUCCUUCCAUGGCCAGUUUCAACCUGUUCUGUAACCUAUCUUGACCAAUAAGCACCAUGUAGUACUGUAUAACAGCAGAACUUUUUGAAUAAAACUUUUUAAUCAUGCAUAUGAUAUU